rnacentral:rRNA from 1 species
UCCAUACCGGAAGUGUGCCAGCAGCCGCGGUAAUACGUAGGGUGCAAGCGUUAUCCGGAAUUAUUGGGCGUAAAGGGCUCGUAGGCGGUUCGUCGCGUCCGGUGUGAAAGUCCAUCGCUUAACGGUGGAUCCGCGCCGGGUACGGGCGGGCUUGAGUGCGGUAGGGGAGACUGGAAUUCCCGGUGUAACGGUGGAAUGUGUAGAUAUCGGGAAGAACACCAAUGGCGAAGGCAGGUCUCUGGGCCGUUACUGACGCUGAGGAGCGAAAGCGUGGGGAGCGAACAGGAUUAGAAACCCCAGUAGUCCGGUUCAUACGGACG